AAAAAUCUCAAAAUACAUUUUAAUUUAGAAACUAAAAGCAUGUUCAUCAAAGAAAGAAUCCAUUGUUUGUAUGCAUUGCAUUUUAAUGUAUUUUUUAUUUUUCUACAUUUGACAAAAAAAAUCAAAAAAAAAAAAAUCAUUGAUGUCACUUACUCGACUGUUAAAAAGUGAAAAUGCUACAAUGUGAGCCAAGUGGCUUGUCUGUGGGUGUCACCAUAGCGUGUGAGUUUAUGCAGAUAAGGUGAUGCUUUGUUUCAAACGGCAGGAUACACCACACAGGAAAAAUGAAAUACAGCUGCCUCUGCUAACGUGAGAAACCCGCUGUCUCUGCAGGUUAAAUAAAAUGAUGCACUCCAGUCUCUCUGCUCUCUUCGUAACCAUCUGGUGCUCAGGUAUUAUCAUCCCUUUUCCUCCUCAGUAGCACAAUUUAACAUAAAGAUGCUGUUAGAUUUCUAACAAUUAAAUGAAUGAAUUACUUUACUUUUUUGCUACUUUCUCACAGGUCUCGUCUCUGGAGAUGCAUCUUGGGACAUAUCUGUGUGGCAAAUACCUGAGAUAACAACAAAAGAAGGCACCGAUGUCACCAUCACCUGUCAUAUUAAAGCUGAUUCACGUAUGGUUGGAAUCAUGGUUAAGUGGUUGCGAGAUAAUCAUACUAUAGUGACUGAAACGAUUGGUAAGGCUGACUAUCCAUCGCCUGUAAAUGGAGUUGUGUUUAUCAACACAAUGCUGCAACUGGAGUCAAUACAUCUAAAUCAUAGUGGCAUGUAUUACUGUACAGCACAUAUGAAUUUACCUGAACUUGGAACUGUUGAAUCUGGAAAUGGGACGCACGUGUAUGUGGUGCCUAAUUCAACAACACCAGCUCCCACACCUGUAAUUUUGACAUUUACACCAAACCCCUUUAAUAUGGACACAGUGAUGUGGACAGUGCUUUCAGGCUUGGGUUUUGUUUUGCUGAUCAUCUGCAUUGCCUGCGUUAUUCACAUACAUUCUAAAGGGCACAACAGAAUAGAAACUAGAGCAAAAGAAGCCCUUGUUAAUGCUACCCGUGGAUCACACUGCCCAGACACUUGUGAAACAACUGUUGUUUAUGCAGCAUUAAACAUUCCUCGAGAGAGUGUGAAAUCAAGAAAUGAGGUAAAUAGUGCCAAUCAAGAGCAUUGUAGUAUUCAAAUCAUGCUUAGUUAUUUGUUAUUA
ensembl:lncRNA